GGGGGCGAAACGGAUUCGACGUGGAUGUGUAAGCUCAUCGUUGCAUGCCGAGCUUCUAUUUGCUCGUAAAACCAAUAGAACCUUAAAUAUAAUCGCAGACGAUUAUAACUACGCAGUAGCAGCUUAAUACCUGUCAUACUGCCGUCCCACCGGCUUUCGCCCGUAAGGCCGGACUCGGGGCGUCGACUCAACGGGCUGGUUUCCUGACGGCUGACUGUCAAUCAGGAAACGAGAUUUAACAGUCUAGCACCAGGCCCGCUCCGUUUCCACGGCAUGCCCGGUGCAAAACCUCAAGCUGGAAACUAAGCAUGUAGAUACGGGAGGGGAGCAUUUGCGGACGCGGGUUCGACUCCCGCCGCCUCCACCA
rnacentral:tmRNA from 1 species